UCGACUCGAGGUGCGAACCAGCGUAGGCCAUUCCAUCGACACAAGCGCGGGUGGAGUACUACCUAUUGGUUUGUCAUUAUGGUGGUCGAGGAAUGAAGCAUGUGCCCUUGGGGCAGGCUAUUGUGCACCUGCAUGCUUGUGGUGUUGGUUGGCGGGCUUUCCAUUUGACCCUUCUUGAAACAUGGACCAAGGUGUCUAACACGUGUGCGAGUCGGUGGGUUUGUAAACCUGCGAGGCAUAAGGAAGCUGAUGGGAGAGAACCCCUCUCCAUGGGGUGCAUUGCCGAAUGACCUUGAGCUUGUGCGAAGUGUUCGAGUGCGAGCACACCUGUUGGGACCCGAAAGAUGGUGAACUAUGCCUGAGCAGGGCGAAGCCAAAGGAAAAUCUGGUGGAUUUUUUAGCGAUACUGACGUGCAAAUCAUUCGUCUAACUUGGGUAUAGGGGCGAAAGACUAAUCGGACCAUCUAGUAGCUGGUUUCCUCCAAAGUUUCCCUCAGGAUAGCUGGAUCUCACGUGCGAUUUUUAUCGGGUAAAGAAAAAUAUUAGAGGCAUC
rnacentral:ncRNA from 1 species